UACGGGGGGAGCAAGCGUUGUUCGGAUUUACUGGGCGUAAAGGGCGCGUAGGCGGCCACGACAAGUCACUUGUGAAAUCUCCGGGCUUAACUCGGAACGGUCAAGUGAUACUGUCGGGCUAGAGUGCAGAAGGGGCAACUGGCAUUCUCGGUGUAGCGGUGAAAUGCGUAGAUAUCGAGAGGAACACCUGCGGCGAAGGCGGGUUGCUGGGCUGACACUGACGCUGAGGCGCGAAAGCCAGGGGAGCGAACGGG
rnacentral:rRNA from 1 species